CAAAGAGGAAGUUACAAGGAAACCCCCAUAAGUCUUUCAUCUGAUUUCUCUACACAAACACUGCUGGCCAGAAUGGAGUGGCAAGAUAUACUCAAAGUCCCGAAUGAGAAAAAGAGAUACAGCCU